ACACUCUGGGUUCUCUUCAGAUCGUAUAAAUCUUUCGCCUUUUACUAAAGAUUUCCGUGGAGAGGACCCAGAGUAUUCAGGUAUUCUAGCCCAAAUCAUGCCCAAAUCAUGAUG